UACGAAGGGGGCUAGCGUUGCUCGGAAUUACUGGGCGUAAAGGGCGCGUAGGCGGACAGUUUAGUCAGAGGUGAAAGCCCAGGCUCAACCUUGGAAUUGCCUUUGAUACUGGCUGUCUUGAGUUCGGGAGAGGUGAGUGGAAUGCCGAGUGUAGAGGUGAAAUUCGUAGAUAUUCGGCGGAACACCAGUGGCGAAGGCGACUCACUGGCCCGAUACUGACGCUGAGGCGCGAAAGCGUGGGAGCAAACAGGG
rnacentral:rRNA from 1 species